ACGUAGGGUGCGAGCGUUGCCCGGAUUUAUUGGGCGUAAAGGGCGCGUAGGCGGCCACGCACGUCCGUUGUGAAAUCGCUCGGCUCAACUGGGCGGGGUCAGCGGAUACGGUGUGGCUGGAGCAAGCUAGGGGGCAAUGGAAUUCCCGGUGUAGUGGUGGAAUGCGUAGAUAUCGGGAGGAACACCAGUGGCGAAGGCGGUUGCCUGGAGCUUUGCUGACGCUGAUGCGCGAAAGCGUGGGGAGCGAUCCGGAUUAGAUACCCGGGUAGUCCACGCCGUAAACGAUGUCGACUAGGUGUCGGGGGUAUCGACCCCCUCGGCGCCGCAGCUAACGCAUUAAGUCGACCGCCUGGGGACUACGGCCGCAAGGCUA
rnacentral:rRNA from 1 species